rnacentral:lncRNA from 1 species
CUCCUAUAACCUUGUGGCCAGGAAGUUCACCUCCUUCACCAGGUUUUGCUCCCUGAGGAUUACAACUAUAACGUUAAGACACUGCCAUACCACCUUAAGUAAAAAACUACACUUUUACUAAACCUCACCAAAGAAAAAACGUAGGUUUCGAUUAAUGACGCAAGAGCACCCAUAGGUGCCUUUAUGUCACAGCAUCAUCUGCCAUGAAUAUAAAUUCAUAAACAACAGAACCGUAUGUCCAACAGGAAUGCAGGAGCACCAGUUGAUGAAAUUUUUAUUGGAAGCUGAGUAAAAGGACAAUAACCUUCAUUGAAAAAAACAAGUUAAACCAAUUACCUGGGCCAUCUUUAUCUGAAGUUCAUCAGCAUUUGUGAGGUAGUAACUUGAAACACCAAAUCUCCCACUAGCAACCUGCUUAAUGGCACUCCUUUUGGGAUUCCUUGAGCCAUCAGCAAGAGGCUCCAUACGAGAUGGUUGCUCACCUCCCUCACCU